UAUGUUGAAAUGUAGACAAAACUA
rnacentral:siRNA from 1 species